rnacentral:rRNA from 1 species
UGAAUACGAGACGCUAAGGCGUCGAAGUAGUGUAUAUCAGACUUCCAAGAAAAGCUUGCACUGUCAUAGAUAAAAAAUGCCUGUACCAUAACCGACACAGGUGGGUAGGUAGAGUAUACUAAGGGGCGCGAGAUAACUCUCUCUAAGGAACUCGGCAAAAUAACUCCGUAACUUCGGGAGAAGGAGUGCCUUAUUUAUAAGGUUGCAAUAACAAGAUCCAAGCAACUGUUUAUCAAAAACACAGGUCUCCGCUAAGUCGUAAGACGAUGUAUGGGGGCUGACGCCUGCCCAGUGCCAGAAGGUUAAAGAAGUUGGUUAGCAAUUGCGAAGCUGAUAACUGAAGCCCUGGUGAACGGCGGCCGUAACUAUAACGGUCCUAAGGUAGCGAAAUUCCUUGUCGGGUAAGUUCCGACCCGCACGAAAGGCGUAAUGAUUUGGAUACUGUCUCGGAGAGGGGCUCGGUGAAAUAGACUUGUCUGUGAAGAUGCGGACUACCUGCACCAGGACAGAAAGACCCUAUGAAGCUUUACUGUAACUUGAAAUUGAAAUUGGACUUUAUUCGCGCAGCAUAGGUGGGAGGCGUUGAUUAUAAUCUUGCGGGAUUAUUGGAGCCAUCAGUGAGAUACCACUCUUGUAAUGUUAGAUUUCUAACUUUGAAUCAUUAUCUGGUCAAAGAACAGUUUCAGGCGGGCAGUUUGACUGGGGCGGUCGCCUCCUAAAUGGUAACGGAGGCGUACAAAGGUUUCCUCUGAACGGUUAGAAAUCGUAUCUAGAGUGUAAAGGCAUAAGGAAGCUUGACUGUGAGACCUACAAGUCGAGCAGGGACGAAAGUCGGUCUUAGUGAUCUGACGGUACUGAGUGGAAAGGCCGUCACUCAACGGAUAAAAGUUACUCUAGGAUAACAGGCUGAUCUCCCCCAAGAGUUCACAUCGACGGGGAGGUUUGGCACCUCGAUGUCGGCUCAUCGCAUCCUGGGGCGGUAGUACGUCCCAAGGGUUGGGCCGUUCGCCCAUGAAAGCGGUACGCGAGCUGGGUUCAGAACGUCGUGAGACAGUUCGGUCCAUAUCCGGUGUAGGCGUUAGAAUAUUGAGAGGAGCCUUCUUUAGUACGAGAGGACCGAGAAGGACAUACCUCUGGUGUACCAGUUAUCGUGCCAACGGUAAACGCUGGGUAGCUAUGUAUGGAGUGGAUAACCGCUGAAAGCAUCUAAGUGGGAAGCCCACCUCAAGAUAAGUAUUCCC